GACGAACGCUGGCGGCGCGCUUAACACAUGCAAGUCGAGCGAGAACCCAGGCUUCGGUCUGGGGGAAAGCGGCGAACGGGUGAGUAACACGUGGGUAAUCUGCCCUCGACAUCGGGAUAGCCCGGGGAAACCCGGAUUAAUACCGAAUGGCCCAUCAGCUUUUCGAAGCGGAUGGAAAAGGUAGCUUCGGCCUCCGGUCGAGGAGGAGCCCGCGGCGGAUUAGCUUGUUGGUGAGGUAACGGCUCACCAAGGCUUCGAUCCGUAGCUGGUCUGAGAGGACGAUCAGCCACACUGGGACUGAGACACGGCCCAGACUCCUACGGGAGGCAG
rnacentral:rRNA from 1 species